CUGUCCCCUCCUACUUUGUUCCCCAUAUAACUGCAGUGUUCUCUUUCUCUCGCUCCCCUGCUCUCCUGUUUUUUUUUUCUUUCUUUCAUAUAUUAACGAGCUCCCCUCCCAAUUAGGAGUUAGCAGUCUCCCCUGGAGGCUGUUUGCUCAGGUAACAUACCUCAUUAGCAUAUCUGAUGGAUCAACCUGCUGUGUGUGUGUGUGGGUGUGUGUGUGGGUGUGGGUGUGGGUGUGCCCGCUUGUGAAAUGGGUUAUCUGCAGAGGAAGGUGUAUGAGAAGAUGUGUGUUUGGAAGGUUGUGUCUGGGUUGUUUGUGUGUCGGCAUUAGUCAUUGAUUAAGAAUAAAUCCCCACCCCCCUGUCGCUAGAAGAGCAAAAACCUCCUCCCCCCUACCCCAUUGGGGCUCUGAGGUGUCAAUCAAACCAAGAGCGGGGGCGGAGCCUGCUGUAUUUGUCUUGGCAGCAUGCUGCCGGGUCAGACCACGGGAGUUAGCAUGCAGGGCAGGUGCACUGUGUGCCCAUGGCUGAGGAACAAUGGUGGCUCUCUCUUCCUCUGCAGCUAAACUAGUUUGGAAACAUUGUUGGACGACAUUGCUGCUAUGUGUUCAGGCUGGGUGCACACGUGUUGGUAAAGCGUUUCAACGGUGGUGUAAGACUGGCGUUCAAAAAUGCCCUCUAUGAUUUUAGAUGUGUACGACGUACCACGCAACAUACAUAUUAGUAACUCGUACAUUUGUAUCCUCAAAUCUUCUAAAUGGAUGUGGGGAAAGGCAUUGGAUCGAUAUAGAUGUGGGGUUGUCGUGUGAGUGGUGCAAGGGGACGUGCUUAACAAGAAGUGUCUCCUCUGCUGUCCUUGUUCUUCCUUCAUUUAUCCAUUCACUCAUUCAUCUCUGUCUUCGGACCAAGAUAACAGGAUUACUUAUCCAUGCAUCCACUAAGGGAGAAGGGGGAGAUGGAAAGCGAGAGGGGGAGAGGCACUUAGAGAGGUGGAGGGACAACCAAGCCAGACCUGUGUGUGUGUGGGGGUGGGGGUGGGGGUGGGGGUGUGUGUGUGUGCACUACUUGCCACCAAGGAAAAAAAAAAAACGUCACAGAUACACUAUGCAAAGACACUCUCUUUCUCUCUCUGUGUGUCUAGCUAUCUCUCUCUAUCAAUUACAAACUCUGGCCCCUCCCUGGUAUGAGCUAGCCUGGUCCUACUAAACUCGCGUACUUCAUUUCAUUUGCACAGAGAGUCUGGACCUACUAAAUUGACAAACGUUAACUCACUUGAAGGCGGGUGUCUGUUGAAGUUUAAAGCUAUUGGAUCUGCCCAGUGCCACUCUGGAUCUGCCAUAACCAAUUGCUAACAUUUGGCCGGGAAUCACUUUGCGCGCAGGCUGUAAACAAACCAAACACCGUGCGUGAAGAUGUCUGUCAACGAGAGCUGACUUUGACGUCAUUGUUUCCAGCCACUCCCUCUGUUCGCUGAUUGGACGCAGAAAAUUUGGAAGGAGAAAACCAACUAACAUACCUCAGACCAAGACCAAGUAGGGAAAUCAAAAUUGAGCGGAGGUACUUAGGCGGGCGGGCGGAGCCAGGCUAGGUAUGAGCAAAGGGGCUGAUUUUAUUGGUCCAAGGCAAGCCCCAUAUUCCAUGUCCCUCUCCAGCUGAUUUCCAUGAUUCGGGAAGCCUUGACGCCUGACAUGUCGGUCAAAGAACUUGCCGUUGCUGCCGACUGAGAUCACACGCUAACAUUUCACCUUUCGGAAUCUUACGAAACUCUUUUCGCCUUAAAUGAACGGUUCAAAGUGUUGGAAGUUUACUUUUCCUGGCAAUGGUGAAACGCUGCGGUAGCAGGGAUUCCCAACGGUCACUGAAUCAAUAUUAAUAAUAUUUAAAUAUAGCUGUUGAGUGUAAUGUCAAGGAUCAGCCCGGUGAUGUAAUUCAGUUGAAAUGGGCUCGCUCUCGGCCUGGCGCUCUCCAUCCAUCAGGAAUUUUGUCUGUUGAAGACCGCAUCAAAUAUGGCGUUUCUGUCUAAGAAGUUCUCUAAGUCCAUCUUUUUUAAGUCGUCGUGUUUCUACUGACUUUACACUUGAGUUAUUUUACUUUAGUUAACUCUUGGGACUUUGUGUCUCUACCUAUCACUUUCUUUCUUUCUCUCCCUCUGCCCACCCACUCUCGCUCUCUCUCCCUCCCCCUAUUCUUCUCCCUUCUCUUUUCGAUGAGGCCGGUAUACUCCUCUGUUGUUGCCGUGGAGAUGUGGGCAACAUGCGUCCCUGGAAUGUGACGACUAGCAUUCCGACACACACACACGUCCUCACACACACAUGCACACACGCACGCACACACACCCUGUGCCCUGCCAGCUCGGCGGGUCGUUGCAUUUGGCACGUGGCCAUGGUCUCCCCUACAUUUUGAACACACUCACACACACACACACACACACACUCUACUCUAACACACACACACACAGACACACACGCUCGCCCCCUGACUGACUCUUGCCUUGGCAGACAGCUCCUGCUGAGUAAGGAGGCUCUCCCUCUCUCUCUCUCUCUCUCUCUCUCUCGCUCUCUCGCUCUCUCGCUCACUCACUCACUCACUCACUCUCUCUCUGUCUCUGUGUCUCUCAUUAUCUGAUGGGGCUGUGCACUUGUAAGUCAGACACACACACACACACACACACACACACACACAAACACGUCAUCUCUCCUUACUGGAUGUGAAGCCUUGGGGCCUUUAGUCAUUCCUUUUGCACACACACACACACACACACACACACACACACACACACACACACACACACACACACACACACACACACACACACACACACACACACACACACACACACACACACACACACACACACACACACACACACACCCCUACCUUCCGUCACCACAACCCCUUACAUUUUCGACCAGUAGCCUGCUAAACCGUUGCACUAGGAAACAGCUUCCUAUCUGAAGGUGUGGCGGUGGCUAUCGGACUCAGCCAGCGUUUGUUCCUUCCUCCCAUCCACAGGCUGAUUUUGUAUUUAUUUUCCGCAACACUGUCGCGAGAUUGUGAUCUCUCUGGGCCUGACCCAUCCAUGCUAGCGGGGGUACUCUUCCUUCCGGGACUGAAACCCGCCCGACGACCAACGCCGCGGUACGGUGUGCCAAACGCGGCGCCCACUUCAACACACGCACACGCACAUACACACACUGUUGCGUGGGAUUGAUAACAGACAGGGGAUUAGUAAUACUCAUGAUUCACCCGUUCAAACAUGCAUUCCUCCUCAGUACGUUUGUGUAUUUGGCCGUAGCCUUACACUGUCCCAGCUUGCAUAACCCAGAGGACUCACACACACACUGUGUACAUCACACACAUACGCACACACAUACACAUAGAUACAUUACACACACACACACACACACACACACACACACACACACACACACACACACACACACACACACACACACACACACACACACACACACACACACACACACACACACACACACACUGUACAAUGCAUACGCCUACACCUCCAGGGCUCCGGCGAGCGAUCUGUGCAUCGAAUGGGGAGCUGAGUCACUCGGACAGCCACUAAGCUGUUUGCAUACAGUAACCAUACAAUGACUACUGUUGUGCAGGCUAUAGGGAUAAUAACAGUAUUCAGACGCAGCCAUGGAGGAGAGCAGAGGGAGUGGGGGAGAGAAAAGACUCUGUCUCUUGUCUGAGCUGGUUGGACUUGCUCACCCCUGGGCACAUUGUUCUGCUGCAGCUGGGGGCACAGAUAUGGUCCGCUCCUAUUGAGGGGCUUUAGCAGAUGCUUUUGUCCGGUAUGGCUAACGAUGAGCGCGUGGUGAGCGACGUGUGGCUAAUGAGCAGGUAGUGGCUGAGGGGGCGUCCUGCUCAAGGGAGCCUACAGGUGGGCGGCUUCAAUCCCGACGCGAUCAUCUAACCUCUGAAACGGCCCGUCCACCUGACCGCCCGUUUCCUUUAGAGGCUGUGAAUUCUGAGGCCAACGGGGUUGGUGGUUCACGGUUCGAGCUGACGGCAACACAGACACUGUUGUGCAUCUGGUUUUUGGUGUUCCACCGCAUUCGUCGGGCGGCCCCUGUGCUCUGCCUCGUGCCUGUUUUGCAUCCCAUUCUCUUGACGACCGGGUUCCCAAGUGUGUGUGUGCUUAACAAAAGGCCUUGUUGUCACGUUGAAGUGUCGCCGGGGGCUCAGCUAAGUUAGCAUAGCACGCACCUGCGGGGGAUGGCUGUGACUUUUCUGUUUGUGUUUAGCUUGGCUUCUCAGCAUGUUUAGCCCUUGUUUAGCCUGAGUGGCGUUUGCUGUUGGCUAGUUAAACGUUGAAGGUGCCAGAGAGCCGCCUGAAGGGGCUUUAGGUGGAGAGGUGACGGAGGCGUUCAUAAGAGGCUUUUGGAUACCUGCGUUAGCAUGGCACUCUUGCUCAUAGUUAGCUUGAUGUGAACCUUCGCCUAAGGUGAAAACACCUGAUAUAGGGUCAUGGUAUGAUAGCAUCGUGUGUGUGUGUGUGUGUGUGUGUGUGUGUGUGUGUGUGUGUGUGUGUGUGUGUGUGUGUGUGUGUGUGUGUGUGUGUGUGUGUGUGUGUGUGUGUGUGUGUGUGUGUGUGUGUGUGUGUGUGUGUGUGUGUGGAACACUUGCUGCCUCAUUGUCGUGCUAAGGACAUGCCAGUGUGGGACCAAUCGGUGACCUCGCCCUGGGUUCCAAUGACACGCUGUGCGUUUGUUGGUCACCCAUCACCUUACCAAUUGCUGUGUCCCACAACCACUAAGUAAUGGAAGCACAUGGAAUUAAGUCUAAAAUGUUUGAGAGACGGGGAGGGAGAGAGAAAGAGAGAGGGAGAAUGUGUGUCACACAUUGGUGUCUAGCACUAGAAGCCCCUGCCAGAUAGCAUUGUUGUUUACAAGCCUGCUUCUUUUGUGUGUGUGUGUGUGUGUGUGUACGUCUGAAACACCAUUGGAUCAUCGCCUCACCCCUCAUUGACUUCUGUGCUUGCCUGCGACACGCCUCUGUGUGCACACACCAGUUGACAUCGUGUGUGUGUGUGUGUGUGUGUGUGUGUGUGUGUGUGUGUGUGUGUGUGUGUGUGUGUGUGUGUGUGUGUGUGUGUGUGUGUGUGUGUGUGUGUGUGUCCGCAGAAAACAGUUGGGCUUAUCUCUGAGUUGAAUUUGUUAGGUGUGUGUGUUUUGCAUUAUGUGCAGUUUGUUUCCUUGUGUGACAGAGUUUGGUUAAUCGUUGGUGUCCCAACAGGUUACCGUUCUGAGGUUAACCCUUGUCUGCCCCCAUCAACGGGGCCUCCGGUUGGGCCAUGUCUUGGGUCAAGGCAAAAGUUCUGCGUAUUACUCAAAAGUCUCUGAAUGACUUUUCAUUAUUUCGCUUUGACCUAUUCUUUUUUUGCUCAUCUUUUUAUUUCUC